rnacentral:tRNA from 1 species
GGAGGUGUAGCUCAGCGGUAGAGCACUUGCUUAGCAUGCAUGAGGCCUGGUUUUGGUCCCCAGCACCACCA